AGUGAACGCUGGCGGCGUGCCUAAUACAUGCAAGUCGAACGGAGUGGCGCACGGGUGAGUAAUGUAUAGCUAAUCUGCCCUACACUAGAGGACAACAGUUGGAAACGACUGCUAAUACUCCCUAGUGUAGGAUGAGGCUAUAUUGUAUCAGCUAGUUGGUGAGGUAAUGGCUCACCAAGGCUAUGACGCAUAACUGGUCUGAGAGGAUGAUCAGUUGCCCUGUAAGUGAGCCACGAGUCAGACUCAUACUGGCAGCAGCAGUAGGGAAUAUUGCCCAAUGGGGGAAUCCCUGAAGCAGCAACGCCGCGUGGAGGAUGACACUUUUCGGAGCGUAAACUCCUUUUGUUAGGGAAGCGUUACCUAACGAAUAAGCACCGGCUAACUCCGUGCCAGCCGCCGCGGUAAUUC
rnacentral:rRNA from 1 species